GAUGAACGCUGGCGGCGUGCUUAACACAUGCAAGUCGAACGACAACGCCCUACUUGCUGGGUCGUUUAGUUGCCAACGGGUGGGUAACUCGUGAGUAAACCGCCCUUUACUCUUUGAUAAGGCAUGGCAACUGGGUAUAAUACCGGAUAGGAGCGUCCACCGACUGGUGGGUGUUGGAAAGCUUCAUCGGUUUUGGAUGGAAUCGCGGCCUAUCCGCAUGUUGGUGUAGUAAUGGCUCACCCAGGCGACGACGGAUAGCCGGCCUGAGAGGGUGACCGGGCACACUGGGACUGAGAGACGGAGCAGACUGCAACGGGAGGCAGAAGGGGGAAAUAUUGCACAAUGGGCGCAAGCCGGAUGCAGCGACGCCGCGGGAGGGAUGACGGCCUUCUGGGUAUAAACCGCAGUCGGUAGGGAAGAAGCGGAAGUGACGGUACCUAAAGAAGAAGCACCGGCUAACUACGUG
rnacentral:rRNA from 1 species